AAAAAAAACCCAAACCACCAGCAACAAAAUCGCUCAUUUUAUAGUAUCUAUAAUGAGGUCAACACUUAGGCCUGUCUCUACUUUUGAGCUGUUUGUGUUUACUGAGCUAACGGAUCUUUCCAGUGAUUGUUCAUUGGAGUUAGGGAGAAAUCAGCACUCCGGCAGCUGUGUUGCUUCCUGACCCAGACCGACUAACUCCAUCUUUUCUACCCCACCAGGCUGGGAGAUGAGGCUGGCCUAGGCUGCCACAUAGCAAGUUCCAGACCAACGUGAGCUACAGUGUGAGGUGCUGUCUCACGGAGCAAAUUGGGACAAUCUAAGUCUAGCACUAGUAGUCCGACAUGAUGGCUGCCACUUUAGCGAUACUUUUAUUUGCUGUGUGUGGACAAGUGCACUCAGGUUAGAUGCACAUGCGGAGGUCAGAGGACAACUCGAAGAUGUUGGCUGCUUUCUGUCACAAUAUGGGCCCUAGGGAUCAAACUCAGGUUGUCAGGUUGACAGUAAGCAUCUUUACCCACUCCACUGAGCCAUCUUGUAGGCCCUGGAGACACAUUUCUCAAGGCCUCAUAUACUAAGGCUGGGUUUGGCUAGUGAGGUCUCAUGGGCACAUGUCCCUGUGUACUUGUUUGUGUUCAAGCCUGUGACAGCCACAGCCGGCUUUUUAACAGACCAUGCCAGGCCCUAUCCUCGGUAUUCCAGCUAUGUGUCUAGGAUUAGAUAACUCCUGAGGUCUCAUUUGGUUCUAGGAGCUCCACAGUCUCAGAGCCUUGCAAGUCACCUGAGCAGCAGCCACUGACUUAGAUGAAUCAGCCUCAGAUGAACUAACCCUGCUGACACACAAAGACGCAUAUCCAGGUUAUUAUCAAAUUAGUGAGAGAAGCCACAUUUUCACAAUGUCCUGAAGAUGGAGCUGCCAAGCACAGGCCUGGUCAGGCCAAGCAACUACAGAUCCAGCUGUCAGCACAGGAGUGAAUCACCCGGCAGCACACCAGAUUAGCCGCUGCCCCAGCAGUACCUGCGUGUCCUGUGCUGUGCUAUUCCUGACCAGUUAGACAACCACAAACACCACACUACCUGCUACUGAAUUUACCCAGCUGUGAAAUGACAGUGCAGUUAUUUUUUUCCAUUUAAAAAUAGUGGCCGUUGGCAUUCCACACCAGAACCUAAUAUAUACUUUCCUAGUGGAAAGGAACGCUGACCUCAGCCCAGAUAAGUUUCUUCUAAAAACUACGCGCUUACUUUUUAGAUUGUUCAGGGAUGCUGCUCUUGGGGUCAGAAGGAUCUGUAGAUAGAAGCAGAGCAUGGAGAGAGAAGGAGAUGGCCUGCAAUUAGCCUUCUCUUUCUUUCUGCCAAGUAUGUGCCUCCCAGAUGGCUCCACCACAAGAAAAGUACAGGGUGGGCAAAGGAGUGGACGCUGGGCCUCAGGGAAACGGUAUGUUCCCUGAGCUGGACAGAACGAGUUAAUCCUACCGGCUAUGCAAGAAAUGAGCAGCUCAGGGAGAGGCAUGCACAACAACAGCUCAGGGGCAGGCUACCAUGUUCCUGACCAUGCUGCACCGGGGCCAUGCUGCAAAGCUGGCGCAUUGUUCCUACCACGCAGACUUACCAUAUCUUUGCUGGCCAAAGCUUUGGGAUCCUUUAUGUUGUAUUUCAGUAAGUUGCAGGCUGACAACAUCUUUUCACUUAGUUCAUACCUAAAGAG
rnacentral:lncRNA from 1 species